CGGGAGCUGUUCCCUGUUCUGCCAGGAAGUGGUCAGUUUUGCUUCAGUAGACUCUUCUGCCAUGACAUUUGUGUCCGGAAGGCUGGACUGAAACCUCUGAAAUCAUGAGCAAAAGUCAAUCUCUCCUUCUGUAAAUCAUGUGGGUCCAAUCUUUGGUCCCAGUGGUGAAAAGCUGACGCAGCCCCUUUCUUCCUUGCCAUUUCAGAAUGCAAGCAAGGGGGUGACCGGGAACUGUGGCUGCAGCCACCACCUGGGGUGGCAGGAGGGGAUCGGACCACAUGAUCGGACCCUCGAAGACCCAGACUCAAAAUUCAAAGCGCAGUUUCUGUUGACCAAGUGACUAACUCGGAAGUUUGAUGCUGUGUGAGGAGAGAUCUCUCCAAAUCGGUUCCCGUUUGGUAUAAGAGGGGCUGAGUCCAGGGAAGCAUGAUCCAGACUCUUCUCAGCGUAUACAGAAAGGAGCCCUGAUGCUGGGCUCAGAAAGGGGAAGCAAGGAUGAGGAAGAGAUUAGGCCUGCAGGCUCCAGGUUUCCUGCCCUGGCCUUGGGCCUGGAAGACCAGAGGAUCAUUAGAGAUCUCGCCCAUCAGCGCUGUCUGUCACACAGGCCCGCCUCCCAAUACACGCGCUGCUUUCCUGUGUCCCAGAGAACUCCUGAGCACACACAGAGAAGGUUCUCAAGAAAGAGAUGGCUGAUCUGGGACAACGUUAGCUGGAGAUUCUGCUCAGGCUGGCUCUGCAGAAAGCUGAGUAAAAGAACACAGUGGCACCCUGGUCCAUGAACUUAAUUUGUUCUGUGAUUUUUGAAAAGAUGGCCACAUUCGUGUUCAUGCAGGAAAGAUGCCUGCGGUCAUGUUUGUCACCCAAUGCAGAGUUUGCAAACAAAAACAAAAUUUCACCAAACACUUCUGUUUGCAAACCAAAUUGUUU
rnacentral:lncRNA from 1 species